CGGGCCGCACAAGCGGUGGAGUAUGUGGUUUAAUUCGAUGCAACGCGAAGAACCUUACCUGGUCUUGACAUCCCGGAGACCCUUAGGAAACUAGGGGGUGCUUCCAUCUGGAAGAAUCUGGAGACAGGUGCUGCAUGGCUGUCGUCAGCUCGUGUCGUGAGAUGUUGGGUUAAGUCCCGCAACGAGCGCAACCCUUGCCUUUAGUUGCCAGCAGUUCGGCUGGGCACUCUAAAGGGACUGCCGGUGUUAAACCGGAGGAAGGUGGGGAUGACGUCAAGUCCUCAUGGCCUUUAUGACCAGGGCUACACACGUACUACAAUGGCCGAUACAAAGGGCAGCGACACUGCGAAGUGAAGCCAAUCCCGUAAAAUCGGUCUCAGUCCGGAUUGGAGUCUGCAACUCGACUCCAUGAAGUUGGAAUCGCUAGUAAUCGUGGAUCAGCAUGCCACGGUGAAUACGUUCCCGGGCCUU
rnacentral:rRNA from 1 species